UACGUAGGUGGCAAGCGUUGUCCGGAAUUACUGGGCGUAAAGGGCGUGUAGGCGGCCUUUUAAGUCAGACGUGAAACCCCUUGGCUUAACCAAGGAACUGCGUUUGAAACUGGAGGGCUUGAGGAUCGGAGAGGGCAGUGGAAUUCCCAGUGUAGCGGUGAAAUGCGUAGAUAUUGGGAGGAACACCAGUGGCGAAGGCGACUGCCUGGACGACACCUGACGCUGAGGCGCGAAAGCUAGGGGAGCAAACGGG
rnacentral:rRNA from 1 species